UACGUAGGGUGCGAGCGUUAAUCGGAAUUACUGGGCGUAAAGCGUGCGCAGGCGGCUUUGCAAGACAGAUGUGAAAUCCCCGGGCUCAACCUGGGAACUGCAUUUGUGACUGCAAGGCUAGAGUACGGCAGAGGGGGAUGGAAUUCCGUGUGUAGCAGUGAAAUGCGUAGAUAUGCGGAGGAACACCAAUGGCGAAGGCAAUCCCCUGGGCCUGUACUGACGCUCAUGCACGAAAGCGUGGGGAGCAAACAGG
rnacentral:rRNA from 1 species